AUGGACGGCCUCCAUGCCAUCCAGGGGCGAUGUGGGCCGGCCAGCAUGCGUGGGGGCAAAGGUCACGACCAGGAUGCGGAUCCAUGGCGGCGGCGCCGCGGAACCCCCCUGCACACCUCUCCAUUGACGCCGUAUCCAUGGUGUCACCGCCGCGGAACUCCUCUGCACACCUCCCCCUUGACGUUGUACGCCACACCACAGCGCCUCCACGUCAUCGAACACACCCGCCACGUAGCACCAUGUGCAUCCUCAUCCACGGGGAUGACAGCCCCGAUCCAGCGGAUCGACCCGCCACAAACCUCUAGGUCGCGCCGCCGACGCAGAUCAACGUCGGCCGGUGACCCUCUCUCAUCCACCGUCGCACCUCCUUUUCCUUCCUGCAGAUCGAAUCGAGUGCCGCCGCCACCAUCAAAGAUGAAUCUGGGAGGAAGCGAGGAGAGGAGGAGAGGUGGGGGCAGGGAGGGGAUGCGCUGGAAGCCAUGGGCUGAGGGGAUGUAG
rnacentral:rRNA from 1 species